UCACGCAAGUGUAUAUAGUCCUCAGAUC
rnacentral:piRNA from 1 species